AUUGAACGCUGGCGGCAGGCCUAACACAUGCAAGUCGAACGCCAGCACAGAAGAGCUUGCUCUUUGGGUGGCGAGUGGCGGACGGGUGAGUAAUGUCUGGGAAACUGCCCGAUGGAGGGGGAUAACUACUGGAAACGGUAGCUAAUACCGCAUAACGUCGCAAGACCAAAGUGGGGGACCUUCGGGCCUCACACCAUCGGAUGUGCCCAGAUGGGAUUAGCUAGUAGGUGGGGUAAUGGCUCACCUAGGCGACGAUCCCUAGCUGGUCUGAGAGGAUGACCAGCCACACUGGAACUGAGACACGGUCCAGACUCCUACGGGAGGCAGCAGUGGGGAAUAUUGCACAAUGGGCGCAAGCCUGAUGCAGCCAUGCCGCGUGUAUGAAGAAGGCCUUCGGGUUGUAAAGUACUUUCAGCGGGGAGGAAGGCGGUGAGGUUAAUAACCUCGCCGAUUGACGUUACCCGCAGAGGAAGCACCGGCUAACUCCGUGCCAGCAGCCGCCGUAA
rnacentral:rRNA from 1 species